AUCAUAAGUGGGUGUUUAAGUGUGAUGAUUGGGUUUUUAUGCCAUUUUGUGAGAUGUGUCUCCCUCAAACCUUGUUACAAUGUCUGUAUGUUACCCAUUUGAUG
rfam:Ictidomys tridecemlineatus contig055298, whole genome shotgun sequence.